rnacentral:rRNA from 1 species
CCUACGGGGUGCAGCAGUGAGGAAUAUUGGUCAAUGGACGAGAGUCUGAACCAGCCAAGUAGCGUGAAGGAUGACUGCCCUAUGGGUUGUAAACUUCUUUUAUAUGGGAAUAAAACGUUCCACGUGUGGGAUUUUGUAUGUACCAUAUGAAUAAGGAUCGGCUAACUCCGUGCCAGCAGCCGCGGUAAUACGGAGGAUCCGAGCGUUAUCCGGAUUUAUUGGGUUUAAAGGGAGCGUAGGUGGAUUGUUAAGUCAGUUGUGAAAGUUUGCGGCUCAACCGUAAAAUUGCAGUUGAAGCUGGCAGUCUUGAGUACAGUAGAGGUGGGCGGAAUGCGUGGUGUAGCGGUGAAAUGCUUAGAUAUCACGAAGAACUCCGAUUGCGAAGGCAGUUCACUGGACUGCAACUGACACUGAGGCUCGAAAGUGUGGGUAUCAAACAGGAUUAGAUACCCUUGUAGUC